UACGUAGGGGCCUAGCGUUGUCCGGAUUUAUUGGGCGUAAAGAGCUCGUAGGCGGUUCGGCAAGUCAUGUGUGAAAUCUCCACGCUCAACGUGGAGGGGCCACCUGAUACUGCCGUGACUCGAGUCCGGUAGGGGAGUGUGGAAUUCCCGGUGUAGCGGUGAAAUGCGCAGAUAUCUGGAGGAACACCGGUGGCGAAGGCGGCGUUCUGGACUGUAACUGACACUGAGGAACGAAAGCCAGGGGAGCAAACGGGG
rnacentral:rRNA from 1 species